rnacentral:tRNA from 1 species
GCCUGGGUAGCUCAGUGGUAGAGCAAGGGUCUGAAGAACCCUGUGUCGUCAGUUCGAUCCUGACCCCAGGCACCA